rnacentral:rRNA from 1 species
UACGAAGGGUGCUAGCGUUGCUCGGAAUUACUGGGCGUAAAGGGUGCGUAGGCGGCCUGUUAAGUUAGAUGUGAAAGCCCAGGGCUCAACCUUGGAAUUGCCUUUGAUACUGGCAGUCUUGAGUACGGAAGAGGUAUGUGGAACUCCGAGUGUAGAGGUGAAAUUCGUAGAUAUUCGGAAGAACACCAGUGGCGAAGGCGACAUACUGGUCCGUUACUGACGCUGAGGCUCGAAAGCGUGGGGAGCAAACAGG